rnacentral:rRNA from 1 species
AUACGGAGGACGCGAGCGUUAUCCGGAUUCAUUGGGUUUAAAGGGUGCGCAGGCGGCCGUGCAAGUCAGCGGUGAAAGCCCGGGGCUCAACCCCGGAAGUGCCGUUGAUACUGCAUGGCUGGAAUGCGGUCGAGGCGGGCGGAACGGGGCGUGGAGCGGUGAAAUGCGUAGAUAUGCCACAGAACGCCGAUAGCGGAGGCAGCUCGCCAGGCCUGCAUUGACGCUCGGGCACGAAAGCGUGGGGAUCGAACAGGAUUAGAUACCCUGGUAGUCCACGCCGUAAACGAUGGGCGCUCGUCGUCGGCGGCAGACAGUCGGCGGCCAAGCGAAAGCGAUAAGCGCCCCACCUGGGGAGUACGGUCGCAAGGCUGAAACUCAAAUGAAUUGACGGGG